UCUUCGAUGGUCUAGUGGUCAUGAUUUCCGCUUGUCAAGUCUUCAGGAUUUACAAGCGCGGGAGACCGGGGUGUAUGUGUACACUUAUCCAAAAACAGAUGAACGUGUUCUAAUUAUUCAACAGUCGAUUCCCCGUCGGAGAG